rnacentral:rRNA from 1 species
UACGUAGGGGGCUAGCGUUGUCCGGAUUUAUUGGGCGUAAAGAGCGUGUAGGCGGCCAGGUAGGUCGGUUGUGAAAACUGGAGGCUCAACCUUCAGACGUCGACGGAAACCGUUUGGCUAGAGUCCGGAAGAGGAGAGUGGAAUUCCUGGUGUAGCGGUGAAAUGCGCAGAUAUCAGGAAGAACACCGAUGGCGAAGGCAGCUCUCGUGGGACGGUACUGACGCUGAGACGCGAAAGCGUGGGGAGCGAACAGG